UACAGAGGUCCCGAGCGUUGUUCGGAUUCACUGGGCGUAAAGGGUGCGUAGGUGGUGAGGUAAGUCGGAUGUGAAAUCUCCGAGCUCAACUCGGAAAUGGCAUUGGAAACUACCUUGCUUGAGGGUUGGAGGGGGGACUGGAAUACUUGGUGUAGCAGUGAAAUGCGUAGAUAUCGAGAGGAACACCAGUGGCGAAGGCGAGUCCCUGGACACUUCCUGACACUGAGGCACGAAAGCUAGGGGAGCAAACAGG
rnacentral:rRNA from 1 species